AUCUAUUUCAAUCGGAAAUUAUUUUUAAAAAUAAUUAAUUUUUAUUGGUAGGAUUUACAUGUGCUGUUUUGAAAUAUCGGCUGCUGUUUUCUACAAAUUUGUCUACAAUGUUUGUUGUUUAACAAUCACUAUUAAAACUGUUUAAAUCUUAUUUAUCUAAUCUUGCGGGAAAGCUGGUAAAGAAAAGUGAGUCUACUAUCACAUCUGUUGAAAGUUAAUUAACUUUGUCCAUAAGUCCCUCUGGUAUAUUUCGCCCCUCUCCUUAUACUUCCUUCCUUUAUGCUUGUAAUAUUAUAAUCGCCACUGAUGAAAUCCACUUCUUGUCUCUGAACGCGUUUUAUGCAUUCAUGUCCGUAAUGUCUUAUACUAGUAUUAUAAUUCCCAAAAUAUAUAGAAAAUAGAUUUAAACAUACAUGUAAGAGCCCUUCG
rnacentral:lncRNA from 1 species